CCUACGGGGGGCAGCAGUAGGGAAUCUUCCACAAUGGACGAAAGUCUGAUGGAGCAACGCCGCGUGUGUGAUGAAGGGUUUCGGCUCGUAAAACACUGUUGUAAGAGAAGAAUGACAUUGAGAGUAACUGUUCAGUGUGUGACGGUAUCUUACCAGAAAGGAACGGCUAAAUAAGUGCCAGCCGCCGCGGUAAUACGUAUGUUCCAAGCGUUAUCCGGAAUUAUUGGGCGUAAAGCGAGCGCAGACGGUUGUUGAAGUGCGAGGUGGAAGCCGACGGGGUAACAGUGGAAGUGCUUUGGAAACUGGAUAACUUGAGGGGAGGAGAGGGGGGGUGAACUCCAUGUGGUGCGGGUAAAUGCGUAGAUAUAUGGAAGAACACCAGUGGCGAAGGCGGCUCUCUGGGCUGUAACUGACGUUGAGGCUUGAAAGUGUGGGGAGCAAACAGGAUUAGAUACCCUGGUAGUC
rnacentral:rRNA from 1 species